rnacentral:rRNA from 1 species
AUAUAGGUGGUUUAAGCGUGUAGGCGUGCCCCUUAGGCAAAUCCGGGGGGCUGAGCUGAGGCGUGACGACGAGGCACUACGGUGCUGAAGUGAUUAAUACCAAGCUUCCAGGAAAAGCCACUAAGCUUCAGUCUAGAGUCGACCGUACCGCAAACCGACACAGGUGGGCAGGAUGAAGAUUCUAAGGCGCUUGAGAGAACUCAGGAGAAGGAACUCGGCAAAUUGACACCGUAACUUCGGGAGAAGGUGUGCCCCGGUAGGUUGUAGAGCCUCGCGCUCGAAGGCCGAUGGGGUUGCAGUGAAAUGGUGGCUGCGACUGUUUAAUAAAAACACAGCACUCUGCAAACACGAAAGUGGACGUAUAGGGUGUGACGCCUGCCCGGUGCUGGAAGAUUAAAUGAUGGGGUGCAAGCUCUUGAUUGAAGUCCCAGUAAACGGCGGCCGUAACAAUAACGGUCCUAAGGUAGCGAAAUUCCUUGUCGGGUAAGUUCCGACCUGCACGAAUGGCGUAACGAUGGCCACACUGUCUCCUCCUGAGACUCAGCGAAGUUGAAAUGUUUGUGAAGAUGCAAUCUCCCCGCGGCAAGACGGAAAGACCCCAUGAACCUUUACUGCAGCUUUGCAUUGGGCUUUGAACCGGUUUGUGUAGGAUAGGUGGGAGACUGUGAAACCGGGACGCUAGUCUCGGUGGAGUCGUCCUUGAAAUACCACCCUGAUUUGUUUGAGGUUCUAACCUAGGCCAGUGAAUCCUGGCCGGGGACCGUGCAUGGUAGGCAGUUUGACUGGGGCGGUCUCCUCCCAAAAGGUAACGGAGGAGUACGAAGGUACGCUUAGGGCGGUCGGACAUCGCCCAUAAAGUGUAAUGGCAAAAGCGUGCUUGGCUGCGAGACCCACAAGUCGAGCAGGUGCGAAAGCAGGUCAUAGUGAUCCGGUGGUUCUGUAUGGAAGGGCCAUCGCUCAACGGAUAAAAGGUACUCUGGGGAUAACAGGCUGAUACCGCCCAAGAGUUCAUAUCGACGGCGGUGUUUGGCACCUCGAUGUCGGCUCAUCUCAUCCUGGGGCUGUAGCCGGUCCCAAGGGUAUGGCUGUUCGCCAUUUAAAGAGGUACGUGAGCUGGGUUUAAAACGUCGUGAGACAGUUUGGUCCCUAUCUGCCGUGGGCGCUGAAAUUUGAAGGGGGCUGCUCCUAGUACGAGAGGACCGGAGUGGACGAACCUCUGGUGUACCGGUUAUGACGCCAGUCGUAUCGCCGGGUAGCUAUGUUCGGAAGAGAUAAACGCUGAAAGCAUCUAAGCGUGAAACUCGCCUUAAGAUAAGAUUUCCCGGAGUCUUGAACUCCUUGAAGGGUCGUCGAAGACCACGACGUUGAUAGGUCAGGUGUGGAAGC